rnacentral:rRNA from 1 species
GACGAACGCUGGCGGCGUGCUUAACACAUGCAAGUCGAACGGUGAAGCGCCUUCCUUUUUGGUGGGUGUGGAUGAGUGGCGAACGGGUGAGUAACACGUGAGUAACCUGCCCCCUUCUUCUGGAUAACCGCAUGAAAGUGUGGCUAAUACGGGAUAUUCUGGGUCUGUCGCAUGAUGGGUCUGGGAAAGAUAUUGUUUCGGUGGGGGAUGGGCUCGCGGCCUAUCAGCUUGUUGGUGGGGUGAUGGCCUACCAAGGCGGUGACGGGUAGCCGGCCUGAGAGGGUGGACGGUCACACUGGGACUGAGACACGGCCCAGACUCCUACGGGAGGCAGCAGUGGGGAAUAGUGCACAAUGGGCGCAAGCCUGAUGCAGCGACGCCGCGUGAGGGAUGGAGGCCUGCGGGUUGUGAACCUCUUUCGCCAGUGAAGCAGGCCUGCCUCGUUUGUGGGUGGGUUGACGGUAGCUGGAUAAGAGGCGCCGGCUAACUACGUG